rnacentral:rRNA from 1 species
AGUAGGGAAUCUUCCGCAAUGGGCGAAAGCCUGACGGAGCAACGCCGCGUGAGUGAAGAAGGUUUUCGGAUCGUAAAACUCUGUUGUUAGGGAAGAACAAGUGUGUAAGUAACUGUACGCAUCUUGACGGUACCUAAUCAGAAAGCCACGGCUAACUACGUGCCAGCAGCCGCGGUAAUACGUAGGUGGCAAGCGUUAUCCGGAAUUAUUGGGCGUAAAGCGCGCGUAGGCGGUUUUUUAAGUCUGAUGUGAAAGCCCCCGGCUCAACCGUGGAGGGUCAUUGGAAACUUGGAAAGUUGAGUGCAGAAGAGGAAAGUGGAAUUCCAGGGAAACGCCUACGCAGAGAUAUGGAGGAACACCAGUGGCGAAGGCGACUCUCUGGUCUGUAA